rnacentral:rRNA from 1 species
GACGUAGGGGGCGAGCGUUGUCCGGAAUUACUGGGCGUAAAGAGCACGUAGGCGGGAAUUUAAGUCAGGUGUGAAAGACCGCAGCUUAACUGCGGGGUUGCACUUGAAACUGAAUUUCUUGAGGGCAGGAGAGGAAAGCAGAAUUCCUGGUGUAGCGGUGAAAUGCGUAGAAAUCAGGAGGAAUACCAGUGGCGAAGGCGGCUUUCUGGACUGACCCUGACGCUGAGGUGCGAAAGCGUGGGUAGCAAACAGGAUUAGAUACCCUGGUAGUCCACGCCGUAAACGAUGGAUACUAGGUGUAGGAGGUAUCGACCCCUUCUGUGCCGCAGCUAACGCAAUAAGUAUCCCGCCUGGGGAGUACGGUCGCAAGGCUGAA